UGGUUUGUGUAUUGCAUAGGUCUAGACAUUGGAUUUCACUUAAAACCCACCAAAUGACUCUGCCCACAACAUUAUGAUGUUCCUCAUGUUUUGGACUCAAUCCGAUAUCGUUCGGUACAUGAAUUUACACAAUUCAUGUUCGUACGAAGUUCGUUCUGAAAUGGUGUGGUUAUUGUAUUGCAUACAUCUAGAGAUUGGAUUUCACUCAACACUCACCAAAU
rnacentral:lncRNA from 1 species